rnacentral:rRNA from 1 species
CAGGAUUAGAUACCCUGGUAGUGCACGCCGUAAACGACGUCUAGUAGCCGUUGGGACUCUUGAAGUCUUAGUGGCGCAGCUAACGCCCUAAGUAGACCGCCUGGGGAGCACGGCCGCAAGGUUAAACUCAAAUGAAUUGACGGGGGCCCGCACAAGCGGUGGAGCAUGUGGUGUACUUCGACGCAACGCGAAGAACCUUACCUGGCCUUGACCUGCAGAGAACUUUCCAGAGAUGGAUUGGUGCCUUCGGGAACUCUGACACAGGUGCUGCAUGGCCGUCGUCAGCUCGUGUCGUGAGAUGUUGGGUUAAGUCCCGUAACGAGCGCAACCCCUAUCCCUAGUUGCUAGCAGUUCGGCUGAGAACUCUAGGGAGACUGCCGGUGACAAACCGGAGGAAGGUGGGGAUGACGUCAGGUCAUCAUGGCCCUUACGGCCAGGGCUCCACACGUGCUACAAUGGUGCGCACAGAGGGCUGCAAACCCGCGAGGGGGAGCCAAUCUCACAAAACGCAUCGUAGUCCGGAUCGCAGUUUGCAACUCGAAUGCGUGAAGUCGGAAUCGCUAGUAAUCGUGAAUCAGAAUGUCACCGUGAAUA